rnacentral:rRNA from 1 species
UACGUAGGGGGCAAGCGUUGUCCGGAAUCAUUGGGCGUAAAGAGCGUGUAGGCGGCCCGGUAAGUCCGCUGUGAAAGUCGGGGGCUCAACCCUCGAAAGCCGGUGGAUACUGUCGGGCUAGAGUGCGGGAGAGGCGAGUGGAAUUCCUGGUGUAGCGGUGAAAUGCGCAGAUAUCAAGGAGGAACACCGAUUGCGAAGGCAGCUCGCUGGGACGUUACUGACGCUGAGACGCGAAGCGUGGGGAGCAAACAGG